GAAACCUCUCAACCACCUUCAAGGUGGCUUGGAAAUGGGGGAUCGUUGCAGGCUUUUUUGAAGUCUGCUCCCCUGAAAUGCAUUAGUGGUGUCUGGGCUGACUGCCACAGGUGUGAUAACUAUCAGUGCCUUGGUGGGAGACCUUGCCGCUUCCAAUCCUCUGAUGACCA
rnacentral:misc_RNA from 1 species